AUUCUACUCCCUCCGUUGCACAAUACAUGCCUUCUAUUUGUCAAAAUAUAUAUGUAUCUAGACAUGUUUUAGUAUAUAUGUACAUCCAUUUUUGGACAAAUGGAAGUCAAGUAUUUUGGAACGGAGGGAGUACACA
rfam:Triticum aestivum genome assembly, contig: Triticum_aestivum_CS42_TGACv1_scaffold_486514_6AS